CCUACGGGGGGCUGCAGUAGGGAAUAUUGGACAAUGGGCGAAAGCCUGAUCCAGCCAUGCCGCGUGUGUGAAGAAGGCCUUCGGGUUGUAAAGCACUUUCAGUGGGGAAGAAAGCCUUGGGGCUAAUACCCUCGAGGAAGGACAUCACCCACAGAAGAAGCACCGGCUAACUCCGUGCCAGCAGCCGCGGUAAUACGGAGGGUGCGAGCGUUAAUCGGAAUUACUGGGCGUAAAGCGCGCGUAGGCGGUCUGAUAAGCCGGUUGUGAAAGCCCCGGGCUCAACCUGGGAACGGCAUCCGGAACUGUCAGGCUAGAGUGCAGGAGAGGAAGGUAGAAUUCCCGGUGUAGCGGUGAAAUGCGUAGAGAUCGGGAGGAAUACCAGUGGCGAAGGCGGCCUUCUGGACUGACACUGACGCUGAGGUGCGAAAGCGUGGGUAGCAAACAGGAUUAGAUACCCCAGUAGUC
rnacentral:rRNA from 1 species